rnacentral:rRNA from 1 species
GACGAACGCUGGCGGCGUGCUUAACACAUGCAAGUCGAACGGAAAGGCCCUGCUUUUGUGGGGUGCUCGAGUGGCGAACGGGUGAGUAACACGUGAGUAACCUGCCCUUGACUUUGGGAUAACUUCAGGAAACUGGGGCUAAUACCGGAUAGGAGCUCCUGCUGCAUGGUGGGGGUUGGAAAGUUUCGGCGGUUGGGGAUGGACUCGCGGCUUAUCAGCUUGUUGGUGGGGUAGUGGCUUACCAAGGCUUUGACGGGUAGCCGGCCUGGGAGGGUGACCGGCCACAUUGGGACUGAGAUACGGCCCAGACUCCUACGGGGGGCAGCAGGGGGGAAUAUGGCACAGUGGGCGGAAGCCUGAUGCAGCAACGCCGCGUGCGGGAAGACGGCCUUCGGGUUGUAAACCGCUUUCGCCUGUGACGAAGCGUGAGUGACGGUAAUGGGUAAAGAAGCACCGGCUAACUACGUG